rnacentral:rRNA from 1 species
UACGUAGGGUGCAAGCGUUGUCCGGAAUUAUUGGGCGUAAAGAGCUCGUAGGCGGUCUGUCACGUCGGCUGUGAAAACCCGAGGCUCAACCUCGGGCCUGCAGUCGAUACGGGCAAACUAGAGUACUGCAGGGGGAGACUGGAAUUCCUGGUGUAGCGGUGAAAUGCGCAGAUAUCAGGAGGAACACCGAUGGCGAAGGCAGGUCUCUGGGCCGAUACUGACGCUGAGGAGCGAAAGCGUGGGGAGCGAACAGG